UACGUAGGAUGCGAGCGUUAAUCGGAAUUACUGGGCGUAAAGCGUGCGCAGGCGGUUCGUUGUGUCGGUGGUGAAAGCCCCGGGCUUAACCUGGGAAUGGCCAUGGAAACUGGCGAACUGGAGUGUGGCAGAGGGGGGUGGAAUUCCGCGUGUAGCAGUGAAAUGCGUAGAGAUGCGGAGGAACACCGAUGGCGAAGGCAGCCCCCUGGGCUAGCACUGACGCUCAGGCACGAAAGCGUGGGGAGCAAACAGG
rnacentral:rRNA from 1 species